ensembl:lncRNA
CAUCAUCAUCAUCAUCAUCCACUGCUGAGAGACAGUAGAGAGAGUCAGACGUGGUAUUGAUCAUCAUCAUGCACCCUGAGCUAAAGCAGGGACUCGAAGAACUGCAGCUGAUGUACACAUGCUGUGACUUCACACGUGAGCCACACCCUGACCGCACAAGUGUAUGUGUGUAGCACAGCACAUGUGUCAGUACAACAUGCUUGGCUUUUGUUUUCCUCUCCAUUUUGCCAAUGGGCAUAGCUGAAUAAUUUAUGCCGGAGGAACGUGCUGGAUGUUCCAGCCUGGAACACAGAACUACAUUGUUCAUAUCCUGGAUGGCUAGUGGUGAUGGGUGGGACGAGUGUUCAUCUUCAUCAUCUGUUCGUCUUCGCAGAGCAUUAUACCAUCAGAAGAAAUAUCGGUCUUCGCAGGGCAUUAUACCAUCAGAAGAAAUGUGAAGAUGACACCAAAGCAUCAUCAAGUGCUAUCUAGUUACUAGUUAGAUACUAGUUGCCCUAUAAAAAACAUAUUUCAUAAAGUGGCAAAUUGUUG